UACUUCAGCCAAAGGCUAUGGGUUGAAGCAAUCACAAGCUGGUCUGACUUUAGGGGAAAAAACACAGUAUUUAUAGCCAUUAACCAUGUAUCUUCUUCUUCAAGGGAAGACCAGUUGUCAGCAGUAGACUCAGGAUUUGAACACAGUUUGUUAAUGUUACAUAUGCAUUUUUUCUCAUCUUCCUUGUCAUUAUACUCUUUUUGUGAGAAAGGAUCAAAGUGUAAGCGUUGUCUGCUCUCAAAGUUGAUGUAGCCAUCUAUGAGAUUACUUUGGACUUCAGAAGAAAAAAUGGAAGAAGAAAAAGUUCAGGGAAAUGGACAAUAGAGCAAUCUUAAAGUUUCAAGUGUUUCAGGAUUGAUACUGCCAAAUGCGAAGAUAUUUGAAUGAAAAUUGUCUACUAGGAUACCAGGCUAGAACUUCAAUUUAAAGAAUAAAAUACUAUGGAAACUGAGACACAGAAGAAGUUAAAUGAUCAAGUAUAGCACCACAUGAAUAAUAACUGACUAGAGCCUAAGAACAAACCAAGCGAUAAGGAAGAUAACUGACCUAAGACAUAGGUGGAAAACAAAAAUAACUGGAGUGCCCUCAAGAUGAUGCAGUCUCCCAGAAAUGAGACAAACCUGAAUGUACAUUUGGAAUAGAUUCAUACCCAUUAUUUUGACAUAAGUAAAAGUUUAGGAAAAGGUGUUCUUUUUUAAAAAAUAUUUUAUUCAUUUAUUCAUGAAAGACACAGAGAGAGAGGGAGGCAGAGACAUAGGGAGAG